rnacentral:rRNA from 1 species
AUGCAGUCGAACGCUUCUUUUUCCACCGGAGCUUGCUCCACCGGAAAAAGAGGAGUGGCGAACGGGUGAGUAACACGUGGGUAACCUGCCCAUCAGAAGGGGAUAACACUUGGAAACAGGUGCUAAUACCGUAUAACAAUCGAAACCGCAUGGUUUUGAUUUGAAAGGCGCUUUCGGGUGUCGCUGAUGGAUGGACCCGCGGUGCAUUAGCUAGUUGGUGAGGUAACGGCUCACCAAGGCCACGAUGCAUAGCCGACCUGAGAGGGUGAUCGGCCACAUUGGGACUGAGACACGGCCCAAACUCCUACGGGAGGCAGCAGUAGGGAAUCUUCGGCAAUGGACGAAAGUCUGACCGAGCAACGCCGCGUGAGUGAAGAAGGUUUUCGGAUCGUAAAACUCUGUUGUUAGAGAAGAACAAGGAUGAGAGUAACUGUUCAUCCCUUGACGGUAUCUAACCAGAAAGCCACGGCUAACUACGUGCCAGCAGCCGCGGUAAUACGUAGGUGGCAAGCGUUGUCCGGAUUUAUUGGGCGUAAAGCGAGCGCAGGCGGUUUCUUAAGUCUGAUGUGAAAGCCCCCGGCUCAACCGGGGAGGGUCAUUGGAAACUGGGAGACUUGAGUGCAGAAGAGGAGAGUGGAAUUCCAUGUGUAGCGGUGAAAUGCGUAGAUAUAUGGAGGAACACCAGUGGCGAAGGCGGCUCUCUGGUCUGUAACUGACGCUGAGGCUCGAAAGCGUGGGGAGCAAACAGGAUUAGAUACCCUGGUAGUCCACGCCGUAAACGAUGAGUGCUAAGUGUUGGAGGGUUUCCGCCCUUCAGUGCUGCAGCUAACGCAUUAAGCACUCCGCCUGGAGAGUACGACCGCAAGGUUGAAACUCACAG